rfam:Nematostella vectensis strain CH2 x CH6 NEMVEscaffold_7219_Cont52718, whole genome shotgun sequence.
UCUCGACCACGGAUGGGAACUUACGGCAGUUUUAUCAGGUAAAGCGAAUGAUUAGAGGUCUUAGGGUUAAAACAACCUUAACCUAUUCUCAAACUUUAAAUUGGUAAGAAGUCCGACUUGCUUAAUUGAAGCCGGACAGUGAAUGCGAGUUCCUAGUGNGCCAUUUUUGGUAAGCAGAACUGGCGAUGCAG